GCUGGCGGCGUGCCUAACACGAUGCAAGUCGAGCGGGGACAGUGCGACGGAGUCGAAGUUUUCGGAUGGAGACAAGAUGUAUUGUCUAGCGGCGGACGGGUGAGUAACGCGUGAGCAACCUGUCCCUUACAGGGGGAUAACACAGCGAAAGUUGUACUAAUACCACAUAAUGCGGCAAGAUCACAUGGUCUUGACGCCAAAGAUUCAUCGGCCGAAGAUGGACCUGCGUCUGAUUAGAUAGUUGGUGAGGUAACGGGCCCACCAAGUCAACGAUCAGUAGCCGACCUGAGAGGGUAAUCGGCCACAUUGGAACUGAGACACGGUCCAAACUCCUACGGGAGGCAGCAGUGGGGAAUAUUGCACAAUGGGCGCAAGCCUGAUGCAGCAACGCCGCGUGAGCGAAGAAGGUCUUCGGAUUGUAAAGCUCUGUCCUUGGGGACGAAGAAGUGACGGUACCCAAGGAGGAAGCCCCGGCUAACUACGUGCC
rnacentral:rRNA from 1 species